GCUUCGAUGGUCUAGUGGUUAGAGCGUCUGCCUCGGAUUCAGGAGAUCGUGGGUUCUAUCCCCGGUCGAGUCA